AUUGAACGCUGGCGGCAGGCUUAACGCAUGCAAGUCGAGCGGAGAUGAGGUGCUUGCACCUUAUCUUAGCGGCAGACGGGUGAGUAAUGCUUAGGAAUCUGCCUAUUAGUGGGGGACAACAUUCCGAAAGGAAUGCUAAUACCGCAUACGCCCUACGGGGGAAAGCAGGGGAUCUUCGGACCUUGCGCUAAUAGAUGAGCCUAAGUCGGAUUAGCUAGUUGGUGGGGUAAAGGCCUACCAAGGCGGCGAUCUGUAGCGGGUCUGAGAGGAUGAUCCGCCACACUGGGACUGAGACACGGCCCAGACUCCUACGGGAGGCAGCAGUGGGGAAUAUUGGACAAUGGGCGGAAGCCUGAUCCAGCCAUGCCGCGUGUGUGAAGAAGGCCUUUUGGUUGUAAAGCACUUUAAGCGAGGAGGAGGCUACCUGGAUUAAUACUCUAGGAUAGUGGACGUUACUCGCAGAAUAAGCACCGGCUAACUCUGUGCCAGCCGCCGCAGUAAAAC
rnacentral:rRNA from 1 species